GACAGAGGAGCCAAGCGUUGUCCGGAUUGACUGGGCGUAAAGCGCACGCAGGCGGAUGCGCGCGUGGGGUGUGAAAUCUGGCCGCUUAACGGCCAGGCGCCAUCCCAUACGGCGCGUCUGGAGUGAUGCAGAGGUCGAUGGAAUUGCCGGUGUAGUGGUGAAAUGCGUAGAGAUCGGCAGGAACACCCAGGGGGAAACCAGUCGACUGGGCAUCUACUGACGCUGAGGUGCGAGAGCGUGG
rnacentral:rRNA from 1 species